CAAUAAUUGUCAAUUCUUCCUUUGAAGAGAAACCUUUCUAUCAUGAAUAUUCUUUUACCAAAUCCCAAAGUUAUACUCUGCCUGGAGUGAAGAUACCUGGUAUCAAAUAUGACUUCGGUCUGGUGGGAACAGGGCUGUGUGCACUGGAGAUGCCAACAUUAUCUAUGGAGUUUCGAACAGUGCACUGUUUGGCCAAGCUGAGACAAAGCUCUGAUUUAUGGAAGCGCCAGGAAUUCAGCUAUUUAGGCCUAUUGACAAAAGUUCCCAUGUUUCUCUGGUAUAUCCUGCCAUUAAUUUCUUUUUCCUUGGAGGAGUUGGUGAAAUAUAUUUCCUUACAAGUGUAGAAUUUGACAUUGUCUUUGUGUCGUAUAUCAUAAGAAAGGCUACUGUUUGUUAGAUUUAUUCUUAACGGAGCGUAAAGUUAUUUGGAAUCUACAAGCAAAAAGCUUGGGAGAUCACCAGUAGAUUUAAUUUGGAAUCUACAAUCCUACUGAUUUUGAUUAAUUGAAAUCCAUAUCUCCAUAUUUAA